rnacentral:tRNA from 1 species
GCCGAAGUGGUGAAACUGGCAUACACGCUACGUUCAGGGCGUAGUUCCGCAAGGAUUGUGGGUUCGACUCCCAUCUUCGGCA